rnacentral:lncRNA from 1 species
GGUGUUUGUAUAAUUGAGAUUUUAGCAUUAACUGACAAUAAUCAGUAUUUAUUACCCGGCCAUUUUUGUGUUUUGUUGAGAAAAUAUUAGACUGCGAGCAAUCCCUCUAUUUCCUUCGUUUUAUUGUUUCCCGGACUAAGACUGAACGCGCGGGAAAAUGGCAAAAAGGGGCGGAGACGAGAGGAAAAAUAGAGGGAUUGCCGCUUUAACUAAUUGUCAAGCGUGUUUGAUUUUCCCGUUGCACAGACAACGGGAAAUUCUGAUUGGUUAAAAAACAAUAAAUAUUCUGAUAACAUUAAAACCCAUCACUCAGCUGGCUUUAUACUGUAAACAGACAUUUGCCGAAAUUAAUAUCUAUCUGGCAGCGGGAAGCACCGAAAAUUGAUACGUAUGUAGUUGAAAGUCUUACAACAAGCUUACAGAAACAAACGCUUGCAAUAGAGUGCCUACAUGAAGGUAGAGAUGUUCUAUCUGUCCUUCCUACGGGAUUUGGAAAGAGUUUCCUGCCCAACUAGUAUUCUAGUAUUUAAAUUGUUCCUCUUCGUAGCAUUAUUGAUGAACAGUUACGGUCCAACGACUUUGCAUUAAGGAUGAUCGCUUUUGGAAAUAUUAACUCGGCCGUUCUUAUAGUGGGAUGAAGCCAUCAAGGAAACCAAUUUUCAGAUAUUUGUGUAUGCGUCUGCUGAUGAAGCUUUGAGCCUUUGUCUCCUGAAUUUGUUGCCUUGUUCAAGAAAUAUAAAAGCUCGCCAUUCAGAAACAAACUGUCCCUCAUAGUCGUUGAUGAAUGUCACACAGUUUAUAGGCUAAUACAUGGUGACUUGGUGAGUUUAUGGAGUUUGGGUUUAUUAGAAUAUUGUAUGUCUUUGUAAAUAUGUAUGCAUGUAUUGUAUAUUGUAUGUAUUGUUUUGAUCUUAAAUGGAUAGUCAUGUUUACAGUAUCAAUGUAUCAUUAAAUUAAGAAAGCCUCUAAAAGACUGUAUUUUUUACGUCAGUUAAAACGUGCGAAUGUACCCGCUGCUGAGAUGAUUUGUUUUUAUUGUACUUGCAUCCGACCGAGGUAGUAGAAUAUGCAUCGCCCGUUUUUCAUUACGGAAUCCCAAAUUACCUGAGUGAGUAAAGACAUUGAACGGAUACAGAAAUCAUUGAAGAUCCAAAUCACAAACUUCGCGGCACUAUUGCCGGAUUUGAACUCAAAUACUGCACAUUAUUAAUCCCUGAGGACAAAGAGAACCUUUGACUUUCCAAUAAUUAAGACUAAUAGCUAGAUACAUGAACACAUUCAUAAUCGCAAGUUCUAAACGUUUUAAUUCAUAGUUCAUAGUUUUAGCCAGCAUUCGUAUACAUUUGCAUGAUUCCAAUUUUCAAGUUUAAAUUUUAAGAUUUGUAAACAUAGAGGCAUAGAGGUUUAGUUUAUAUAAAUUAGAAACACUCCUUGUAAAUCUUAACCAUGUAAUUAAGCUUAAUAGCUGUAAAAUAUUAAACUAUGUCAAAAUAUUGUCGCAGAAAGUCACAGUCUAUAGAAUAGAUCCUUCAAUAAACCCUAAGACCCCUUGCCUUGCUUUAUACGUUUUCCUGCCAGACAAAUUCUGAUUAUGAAUAUUCAUACUUGCCAAACUGAAAUUUGAGAAUUUAAAUACACGCCGUUGUUUGAUGGUUUUACUAAGCGAAUUGAGUCAUUCGAGACCGCGCCUUUCAAGAGAUGUUCUUGAGCCUGUUUUGAAAUAUAAACAGGUAGGCGGAGCUUAAUCAAACACGCGUGACAAUUAGUUAAAGCGGCAAUCCCUCUAUUUUUAUAUUAGGGAUUGCUCGCAGUCUA